rnacentral:rRNA from 1 species
CCAGACUCCUACGGGAGGCAGCAGUCGGGAAUAUUGCGCAAUGGAGGAAACUCUGACGCAGUGACGCCGCGUAUAGGAAGAAGGUUUUCGGAUUGUAAACUAUUGUCGUUAGGGAAGAGAAAGGACAGUACCUAAGGAGGAAGCUCCGGCUAACUACGUGCCAGCAGCCGCGGUAAUACGUAGGGAGCGAGCGUUAUCCGGAUUUAUUGGGUUUAAAGGGUGCGUAGGCGGAGUGUCAAGUCAGCGGUAAAAUUUCGGGGCUCAACCCCGUCGUGCCGUUGAAACUGACGCCCUUGAGUGAGUGAGAAGUAAGCGGAAUGCGUGGUGUAGCGGUGAAAUGCAUAGAUAUCACGCAGAACGCCGAUUGCGAAGGCAGCUUACCGGCGCUCAACUGACGCUGAGGCACGAAAGUGCGGGUAUCGAACAGGAUUAGAUACCCUCGUAG